CCUACGGGCGGCAGCAGUGGGGAAUAUUGGACAAUGGGGGCAACCCUGAUCCAGCCAUGCCGCGUGUGUGAAGAAGGCCCUCGGGUUGUAAAGCACUUUCAGUGAGGAAGAACGCCUGGUGGUUAAUACCCAUCAGGAAAGACAUCACUCACAGAAGAAGCACCGGCUAACUCCGUGCCAGCAGCCGCGGUAAUACGGAGGGUGCGAGCGUUAAUCGGAAUUACUGGGCGUAAAGCGCGCGUAGGUGGCUUGAUAAGCCGGUUGUGAAAGCCCCGGGCUCAACCUGGGAACGGCAUCCGGAACUGUCAAGCUAGAGUGCAGGAGAGGAAGGUAGAAUUCCCGGUGUAGCGGUGAAGUGCGUAGAGAUCGGGAGGAAUACCAGUGGCGAAGGCGGCCUUCUGGACUGACACUGACACUGAGGUGCGAAAGCGUGGGUAGCAAACAGGAUUAGAUACCCCGGUAGUC
rnacentral:rRNA from 1 species